rnacentral:rRNA from 1 species
CCUACGGGAGGCAGCAGUGAGGAAUAUUGGUCAAUGGCCGGAAGUCUGAACCAGCCAAGUAGCGUGAAGGAUGACUGCCCUGUGCGUUGUAAACUUCUUUUGUCUGGGAAUAAAAUGUUGCACGUGUGGGGUUUUGUAUGUACCCUAUGAAUAAGGAUCGGCUAACUCCGUGCCAGCAGCCGCGGUAAUACGGAGGAUGCGAGCGUUAUCCGGAUUUAUUGGGUUUAAAGGGAGCGUAGGCGGAUUCUUAAGUCAGUUGUGAAAUUUUGCGGCUCAACCGUAACAGUGCCGUUGAAACUGGGGGCCUUGAGUACAGUAGAGGUGGGCGGAAUGCGCGGUGUAGCGGUGAAAUGCUUAGAUAUCGCGAAGAACCCCGAUUGCGAAGGCAG